rnacentral:lncRNA from 12 species
AGUAUUCAUUCAUUUACUAUUGCUCAUAAUAUUUAGUAAUUGGAGCAAACCCCUGAACCAAAGUAUUAAGUUUCACUUGUCCUUCACUGUUCAAUAAACUUGUGAAGCAGCACCCUAGCAUCAUAAUAUUUUUGCACAGGCAAAUGAUACUUACAUUUUCUUCCGAAAAUGUAGAUGGUUCGUCUUUAGCAAAGGCUGCAAAUCAGUUGGGCUCAAAUUUUAAUAUGAUUAAUGAAAACAAAUAAGGAAAAACUCACUCAAAAUUCUGCUAAUGGAACAGGCCAGAGGAGAACGAAGAACAGAAAGAAGAAAAGACGACAAAAGAAUCAAAAGAACUCAAGAAAAAGCUGGAAAAAGAAGAGAAGAAACGCUUGGAGCAGGAGAAGAAAGAGAAGAAAGAGAGAGAGAAAAGGGAGCAGGAGGCCAGGAAAAAGUUUAAAAUCAAGGGUCCUGUCGUGGUGGUGGAAACAGUGAAGGCCAGUGUGAAUCACAAGGGAGGAAAGAACAAACUUCCUCUGAAGCAGGGAGAGAGCAUUGAAAUUGUACGCAAAACAGAAAACCCAAAGGACUAUUGGCUCGCCAGAAACACCGGAGGCCUCUGUGAGUUACUCUGCUGCACUGCACUGCACUGUAUUUACUUUGUAAAGAAUCCAGUCAUGUUCAUUAGCUAACAAGAGCUGCUAAACUGAACAACUGAACAUCUUUAUUAGGCUGAAGCUUCCUGUUGGUCUCUAACCAUUUUCAGCUGCUAUUUUGACUGUGUGUUGGUGUGUUUUACGUGUAGAUGGUUUUGUGAAGCCUGACACUUUAGCUGUUGUGGGAAGCACACAGGAUGAACAGGAUGUGUAUGAUGAUGUGUGCGCAGAUGAUGACGUCCAUAAGUAAGAGAGUAACUUAUACGCUUAUUAAAGAUUAUUAACAUUACUCAGGUUAAUUGUUAUUUCUCUUUUUACUAAAAAACUCUCUUUUUUUCAGUCUACCAGAUGGUAAGACAUUGCAUUAUACAUUUAAUAAAUAUAAAUUAAAUAACAUUGCAAUCAUUUAGUGAGUGCCAAGUGAAGAAAAAAACUUUUUUUUUGUUUUUUGUUUCCCCUUAUUCAUGAUUUUGUCACAUGACUAGUGCCAGAAGCUGAAUGUGAUGAUGAUAUUUAUCAUUAUCCAGAUGAUCUACAAGCUGAUUUCAGGUGACUCAUGUUCAAAAUCAUUUAAUACUUCACAAAUACCAGUAUAUUCAUCCAAACAAUUAUGACAGCAAGUUUUAGUUAACUUUCAUGCUCAGCACUUGCUGUAUAAGGUGCAGCAAGACUUUUAAUGUUUUUGAAAAAAGCCUCUUAUGCUCACCAAGGCUGCAUUUAUUUGAUAGAAAAUGCUGUAUUUUUAUUGUAUUUUUGAGCAAAUAAAUGCAGCCUUUGUUUAAUUAAUUUAUAUUUUAUAUAAUCAUUCUAGAAUAUUAAUACAAUUUAAAAUAGCUAUUUUUCUUUGAAUACAUUUUAAAAUAUAAUUUAUUCCUGUCAUGGCAAAGCUGAAUAAAAAAAUAUGAACUGAAUUAUAUAAAUUAACCAAAUCGUCUUCAUUUUUAUAUUAAUAAAUUUAAUGGUUUUAAACUUAAAUGAUAUUAUUUAUAAUUAACCAUGUUUAAACAUUUAUAUUAAAAAUACUUGUAUAUAAAUACAGUACAUGUGGAUGUAUUUUAUACAUUUUAUAUAAUAGUAUAGUCAUUUAUAUUAUAUUUAUAUAAAAAAGUAUAUUGUGUCAUAUUAAAAAACCCUAAUCUAUGCAAAUUCCUCACUGAUAGGUGAAGGUCUAAAGUCAUUUUUAAGUAAAAGAGUAUUAUUUAAAGCACCUUUUAACCUGAAGCACACAUAUAUAGGGGAUUUACCGCCACCUGCUGUAAUUUUACUGCUAUUUUGCAGCUUUCCCCCUCCACCUCCUCCAGAGCCUCUGGCAUUUAAUGGUGUGUGUGAGUAAUACUGGAUUUUCUCUGCACAUUUCAUAUAAUAUAUUAUGAAUAAUCUAACAGCACAUUCAGAAAUGCAUAAAAUAUUCAGUCAUUGCUUGCUUAUAUGUAAUGGUUGAGUGUUUCUAUAGUUUCUUACAAAGCCAAGAACAUUAAAAUGAUUUCCAGGGAAUGCAUAAAGAAAAUGUUUACCUUGAAUGCAGUGUUGUUGCUUUGGAUAAAGGCGUC